rnacentral:rRNA from 1 species
CCUACGGGUGGCAGCAGUAGGGAAUAUUGCUCAAUGGGGGAAACCCUGAAGCAGCAACGCCGCGUGGAGGAUGAAGGCUUUAGGAUUGUAAACUCCUUUUGUGCGAGAAGAUAAUGCCGGCAUCUCACGAAUAAGCACCAGCUAACUCCGUGCCAGCAGCCGCGGUAAUACGGAGGGAGGAAGCGUUACUCUGAAUCAUUGGGGGUAAAGGGUGCGCUGGCGGGCUUGUAAGUCAGAUGUGAAAACCUGUAGCUUAACCGCAGAACUGCAUUUGAAACUAUGGUUCUAGAGUGAGGGAGAGGUAGGUGGAAUGCUUGGUGUAGCGGUGAAAUGCGUAGAUAUCAAGAGGAACACUCAUUGCGAAGGCGACCUACUGGAACAUAACUGACGCUCAGGCACGAAAGCGUGGGGAGCAAACAGGAUUAGAUACCCCAGUAGUC